GCACAAGCAGUGGAGUAUGUGGUUUAAUUCGAAGCAACGCGAAGAACCUUACCAGGUCUUGACAUCGAGUGACGAACUUAGAGAUAAGUUCUUCCUUCGGGACACGAAGACAGGUGGUGCAUGGUUGUCGUCAGCUCGUGUCGUGAGAUGUUGGGUUAAGUCCCGCAACGAGCGCAACCCUUAUCAUUAGUUGCUACGCAAGAGCACUCUAAUGAGACUGCCGUUGACAAAA
rnacentral:rRNA from 1 species